rnacentral:rRNA from 1 species
AAAGCGCGCGUAGGUGGUUUGUUAAGUUGGAUGUGAAAUCCCCGGGCUCAACCUGGGAACUGCAUUCAAAACUGACUGACUAGAGUAUGGUAGAGGGUGGUGGAAUUUCCUGUGUAGCGGUGAAAUGCGUAGAUAUAGGAAGGAACACCAGUGGCGAAGGCGACCACCUGGACUAAUACUGACACUGAGGUGCGAAAGCGUGGGGAGCAAACAGGAUUAGAUACCCGGGU